rnacentral:rRNA from 1 species
GCUAGCCUCAUAUUAGAUACCCGGAGGUAAAGCACUGAAUGGCCUAGCGCCCGAGAGGGUAGCGAAGCCUAUCAAACUAAGAAUGCCGGAGUAUUGAUGUAUGGGAGUCAGACAGUGUGAGAUAAAUCUCAUUGUCAAAAGGGAAACAGCCCAGAUCUACAGCUAAGGUCCCAAAUUGUAUCUAAGUGGAAAACGAUGUGGAAAUACGCAGACAACCAGGAUGUUGGCUCAGAAGCAGCCACUCAUUCAAAGAGUGCGUAAUAGCUCACUGGUCGAGCGUCUUUGCGCGGAGAAUUUAACGGGGCUAAACCUGACACCGAAGCUUAGGCAAUCCAGUAAUGGAUUGGGUAGGGGAGCGUUGUAUACGCGGAGAAACAGUAGCGUAAGCGGCUGUGGAGUGUAUAGAAGUGAGAAUGCCGGAAUGAGUAGCGCGAAUGCAGUGAGAAUCUGCAUGGCCGAAAGCCUCAGGUUUUUGGAGGAAGGUUCGUCCGCUCCAAGUUAGUCGGGAGCUAAGGUGAGGCCGGAAGGCGUAGCCGAUGCACAGACGGUAGAGAUUCCGUCACCACCAAAAGAGUUAAGCACAGGGACACAUUUGAAGUCUCAGAGCCGGGUGUUGGUUCCGGUAGAGAUCGAGGGAAAUUAGUACCGAAGUCUGAGAUGGAAGAUGGCGAGAAAAGCUGUGUGUAUUUCUGAGGUGCCCGUACCGCAAACCGACACAGGUAGGUAGGAAGAAGAUUCUAAGGCCAACGGGAGAAGGGUUGUUAAGGAACUCGGCAAAUUGACCCCGUAACUUCGGGAGAAGGGGUGCUCCAGAGAUGGAGCCGCAGAGAAUCGGCCCAAGCAACUGUUUACCAAAAACACAGGUUUGUGCUAAAUCGAAAGAUGACGUAUACGAGCUGACGCCUGCCCGGUGCUGGAAGGUUAAGAGGAGAUGUGCAAGCAUUGAAUCGAAGCCCCAGUGAACGGCGGCCGUAACUAUAACGGUCCUAAGGUAGCGAAAUUCCUUGUCAGGUAAGUUCUGACCCGCAUGAAAGGCGUAAUGAUUUGGGCACUGUCUCAACAGCCCGCCCGGCGAAAUUGUAGUACUGGUGAAGAUGCCAGUUACCCGCAACUAGACGGAAAGACCCCAUGGAGCUUUACUGUAGCUUAAUACUGGAAAUCGGUAAAUCAUGUACAGGAUAGGUGGGAGACUUGGAAGCCAGGGCGUCAGCUUUGGUGGAGUCACCCUUGGGAUACCACCCUUGAUUUGCUGGUUUUCUAACCUGCGGCCGUGAAUCCGGUCGGGGGACACUGUUAGGUGGGCAGUUUGACUGGGGCGGUCGCCUCCUAAAAGGUAACGGAGGCGCUCAAAGGUUCGUUCAGCACGGACGGAAAUCGUGCAGUGAGUGUAAACGCAGAAACGAGCCUAACUGCGACACCGACGGGUGGAGCAGUAACGAAAGUUGGAGUUAGUGAUCCGGCGGUAUGUGCGUGGAAAUGCCGUCGCUCAACGGAUAAAAGCUACCCUGGAGAUCGGAAGAGCGUC